rnacentral:rRNA from 1 species
GAUCCUGGCUCAGGAUGAACGCUAGCUACAGGCUUAACACAUGCAAGUCGAGGGGCAGCAUGAACUUAGCUUGCUAAGUUUGAUGGCGACCGGCGCACGGGUGAGUAACACGUAUCCAACCUUCCCGUUACUCUGGGAUAGCCUUUCGAAAGAAAGAUUAAUACCGGAUAGUAUCGAGAGAUUGCAUGAUAACCCGAUUAAAGAUUUAUCGGUAACGGAUGGGGAUGCGUUCCAUUAGAUAGUAGG